rnacentral:rRNA from 1 species
CAGUCGCCACGGUAAUACAGAGGGUGCAAGCGUUAAUCGGAAUUACUGGGCGUAAAGCGCGCGUAGGUGGUUUGUUAAGUUGGAUGUGAAAUCCCCGGGCUCAACCUGGGAACUGCAUCCAAAACUGGCAAGCUAGAGUAUGGUAGAGGGUGGUGGAAUUUCCUGUGUAGCGGUGAAAUGCGUAGAUAUAGGAAGGAACACCAGUGGCGAAGGCGACCACCUGGACUGAUACUGACACUGAGGUGCGAAAGCGUGGGGAGCAAACAGGAUUAGAUACCCGAGUAGUACCUGUCUCUUAUAC